UGUCAUUGUGCCAUUGUCCCCGAUCAAUCCACCACCGCCGGAAGUCACAUCUGUGUCAUUCGUCAUGCCGCCCUGACCGAUCGCAGUCACGUCCAUCUUUCCCAGCAUCCCCAAACCUUUGGAGUGUGAAAAUGUCACGCAUUCCAGUACUUUGUGUUGAGUUGUGCAGAGGGAUGAAAAUUACUAUGUACCACCUCUCUCCUAUGUACAUGUAGAUCUAGCCUGAAAAGAAGGGUGGGAAAAAGUGUUUCGUGAAAGAGUAGUGCACUUGCAUGAAUAUAAAUUGAGACUGGAUCAUAUUAGCGGAACAUAUACUUUACGUUCGUAACACACUAAAAAUAUAUAUUAAAAAGCUUGUUGAAAAAA